CUUAAUUGGGCGUUAAGUUGCAGGGUAUAGACCCGAAACCCGGUGAUCUAGCCAUGGGCAGGUUGAAGGUUGGGUAACACUAACUGGAGGACCGAACCGACUAAUGUUGAAAAAUUAGCGGAUGACCUGUGGCUGGGGGUGAAAGGCCAAUCAAACCGGGAGAUAGCUGGUUCUCCCCGAAAGCUAUUUAGGUAGCGCCUCGUGAAUUCAUCUCCGGGGGUAGAGCACUGUUUCGGCUAGGGGGCCAUCCCGGCUUACCAACCCGAUGCAAACUGCGAAUACCGGAGAAUGUUAUCACGGGAGACACACGGCGGGUGCUAACGUCCGUCGUGAAGAGGGAAACAACCCAGACCGCCAGCUAAGGUCCCAAAGUCAUGGUUAAGUGGGAAACGAUGUGGGAAGGCCCAGACAGCCAGGAUGUUGGCUUAGAAGCAGCCAUCAUUUAAAGAAAGCGUAAUAGCUCACUGGUCGAGUCGGCCUGCGCGGAAGAUGUAACGGGGCUAAACCAUGCACCGAAGCUGCGGCAGCGACACUCAGGUGUUGUUGGGUAGGGGAGCGUUCUGUAAGCCUGUGAAGGUGGCCUGUGAGGGUUGCUGGAGGUAUCAGAAGUGCGAAUGCUGACAUAAGUAACGAUAAAGCGGGUGAAAAGCCCGCUCGCCGGAAGACCAAGGGUUCCUGUCCAACGUUAAUCGGGGCAGGGUGAGUCGACCCCUAAGGCGAGGCCGAAAGGCGUAGUCGAUGGGAAACGGGUUAAUAUUCCCGUACUUGGUGUUACUGCGAAGGGGGGACGGAGAAGGCUAUGUUGGCCGGGCGACGGUUGUCCCGGUUUAAGCGUGUAGGUGUGUGUUCCAGGUAAAUCCGGUUCACUUUAACACUGAGGCGUGACGACGAGGCACUACGGUGCUGAAGCAACAAAUGCCCUGCUUCCAGGAAAAGCCUCUAAGCAUCAGGUAACAUCAAAUCGUACCCCAAACCGACACAGGUGGUCAGGUAGAGAAUACCAAGGCGCUUGAGAGAACUCGGGUGAAGGAACUAGGCAAAAUGGUGCCGUAACUUCGGGAGAAGGCACGCUGACACGUAGGUGAAGUGAUUUACUCAUGGAGCUGAAGUCAGUCGAAGAUACCAGCUGGCUGCAACUGUUUAUUAAAAACACAGCACUGUGCAAACACGAAAGUGGACGUAUACGGUGUGACGCCUGCCCGGUGCCGGAAGGUUAAUUGAUGGGGUCAGCGCAAGCGAAGCUCCUGAUCGAAGCCCCGGUAAACGGCGGCCGUAACUAUAACGGUCCUAAGGUAGCGAAAUUCCUUGUCGGGUAAGUUCCGACCUGCACGAAUGGCGUAAUGAUGGCCAGGCUGUCUCCACCCGAGACUCAGUGAAAUUGAACUCGCUGUGAAGAUGCAGUGUACCCGCGGCAAGACGGAAAGACCCCGUGAACCUUUACUAUAGCUUGACACUGAACAUUGAGCCUUGAUGUGUAGGAUAGGUGGGAGGCUUUGAAGUGUGGACGCCAGUCUGCAUGGAGCCGACCUUGAAAUACCACCCUUUAAUGUUUGAUGUUCUAACGUGGACCCGUAAUCCGGGUUGCGGACAGUGUCUGGUGGGUAGUUUGACUGGGGCGGUCUCCUCCUAAAGAGUAACGGAGGAGCACGAAGGUUGGCUAAUCCUGGUCGGACAUCAGGAGGUUAGUGCAAUGGCAUAAGCCAGCUUGACUGCGAGCGUGACGGCGCGAGCAGGUGCGAAAGCAGGUCAUAGUGAUCCGGUGGUUCUGAAUGGAAGGGCCAUCGCUCAACGGAUAAAAGGUACUCCGGGGAUAACAGGCUGAUACCGCCCAAGAGUUCAUAUCGACGGCGGUGUUUGGCACCUCGAUGUCGGCUCAUCACAUCCUGGGGCUGAAGUAGGUCCCAAGGGUAUGGCUGUUCGCCAUUUAAAGUGGUACGCGAGCUGGGUUUAGAACGUCGUGAGACAGUUCGGUCCCUAUCUGCCGUGGGCGCUGGAGAACUGAGGGGGGCUGCUCCUAGUACGAGAGGACCGGAGUGGACGCAUCACUGGUGUUCGGGUUGUCAUGCCAAUGGCACUGCCCGGUAGCUAAAUGCGGAAGAGAUAAGUGCUGAAAGCAUCUAAGCACGAAACUUGCCCCGA
rnacentral:rRNA from 1 species